AGUGAACGCUGGCGGCAGGCCUAAUACAUGCAAGUCGAACGGCAGCACAGCAGAGCUUGCUCUGUGGGUGGCGAGUGGCGGACGGGUGAGGAAUACAUGGGAAUCUGCCCAGUCGUGGGGGAUAACGUAUGGAAACGUACGCUAAUACCGCAUGCGCCCUACGGGGGAAAGUCGGGGACCGCAAGGCCUGACGCGAUUGGAUGAGCCCAUGUUCGAUUAGCUAGUUGGCGGGGUAAAGGCCCACCAAGACGACGAUCGAUAGCUGGUCUGAGAGGAUGAUCAGCCACACUGGAACUGAGACACGGUCCAGACUCCUACGGGAGGCAGCAGUAGGGAAUAUUGGACAAUGGGGCAACCUGAUCCAGCCAUGCCGCGUGAGUGAAGAAGGCCCUCGGGUUGUAAAGCUCUUUUGUCCGGAAAGAAAGCAAUCGGUUAAUACCCGGUUGUUCUGACGGUACCGGAAGAAUAAGCACC
rnacentral:rRNA from 1 species